UACAGAGGGUGCAAGCGUUGCUCGGAAUCAUUGGGCGUAAAGGGUAGGUAGGUGGUCUCAUUUGUCUGGGGUGAAAGCCCAGGGCUUAACCCUGGAAGUGCCCCGGAAACGGUGAGACUGGAGUCCUGGAGAGGGUCGUGGAAUUCCCGGUGUAGCGGUGAAAUGCGUAGAUAUCUGGAGGAAUACCGGUGGCGAAGGCGGCAUCCUGGACCGGCAUUGACGCUGAGGAGCGAAAGCCAGGGGAGCAAACGGG
rnacentral:rRNA from 1 species